rnacentral:rRNA from 1 species
GACGAACGCUGGCGGCGUGCUUAACACAUGCAAGUCGAACGAUGAAGCCGGAGCUUGCUCUGGUGAAUUAGUGGCGAACGGGUGAGUAACACGUGGGUAACCUGCCCUUGACUCUGGGAUAACUGCGGGAAACUGUAGCUAAUACCGGAUACGACCCUCGGAGGCAUCUCCUGGGGGUGGAAAGAAUUUCGGUCAAGGAUGGACUCGCGGCCUAUCAGCUAGUUGGUGAGGUAAAGGCCCACCAAGGCGACGUCGGGUAGCCGGCCUGAGAGGGUGAACGGCCACACUGGGACUGAGACACGGCCCAGACUCCUACGGGAGGCAGCAGUGGGGAAUAUUGCACAAUGGGCGCAAGCCUGAUGCAGCAACGCCGCGUGAGGGAUGACGGCCUUCGGGUUGUAAACCUCUUUUAGCAGGGAAGAAGCGAAAGUGACGGUACCUGCAGAAAAAGCACCGGCUAACUACGUGCCAGCCGCCGCCGUAA